CUCUCAACGCAUUAACCAGUUCCUUCCCCCCUUACCCUCCCCCUUCUAACGACGGUUAUGAUUCGGACAAUAAAAUGGAUUUUUCUACAUGCGAUGCUACUGACAAGGUAGGGGACGGCAGUCUCCUUGCUACUGUUAACAUUCCUAACAAAUCGACGUCUUCAGGUACGAUGGCCAUUGUCAGGGACCUUUUGAUGUCCUUGUACAACCCGAAGUUAAUUCAAGCAUAUCGUUGCAUCCUCUAACAGUUGGACGAAUUCUUAGUGCGUCCACAAAACAGGACAUUGUCGAAAUAAAGAAAAUUGGCUUUUCAAAAGUUUCUGUACAAAUGAAGUCUCGUAAAGCAGCCAAUGACCUCAUUAAGAAUCCGGCUCUAAAAGCCAAAAAUCUAAUCGCAUUCAUUCCAUCUUUCAGAACAUCUAGAUAAGGUAUCAUCAGGAAUAUUCCUCUCGAAUUCACGGAAGAGGAAAUCAAAAAAAGAAAUCGUUUGCCCAUAUGACGUAGUCAACGUCAGGAGACUUAACAGAAGAGCUUUGACUCUAUCUGACUCUGGGUCGGAAUCAGUGAGCUAUAUACCAUCCAAAACGGUCUGUAUUACAUUUAAAGGGCAGGUUCUUCCUAAAUACAUUUUCUUUUGCAUGGUAAGGUAUGAUGUCACUCCUUUUAUCUCCAAGGUUUCUAUUUGCUCUUUAUGCCUUCGCUAUGGCCACACGAGUACGCAAUGCAAGGGGCAUCCAAGAUGUUCUCAUUGUGCCGAACGCUCUCACGAGGAAGGCUUUUCCUGUCCAAGAAUAAAUUCACCUCCCUCUUGUGCAAAUUGCAAGGGUCCCCACAACUCAAAAGACCUCUCCUGUCCAGAGCGUCUCAUCCAAAGACAGAUCAGGGAAUUAGCCGCCACCAAAAACAUCCCUCUUAUCGAAGCCAGAAGACUCAUCCGCAGUAAUAACUCUGGUCUUGGGACUAAUCCACAGUUCGACUUCUCUAAUUUUCCUGUACUAAAUGAACCUUAUUCUCCACUCUCCCCAGCCUCCUCCCCUAAUAUUCCAACCUCAUCAACCACUUCCUUCCCCUUUUCCUUUGCCGAUACGGUUAAAUAUCCCCCUACUUCCUCAUCCUCCUUCUCUCCCUCCUGCACACCCUCGCCACUCCUCCUCUCCGCUCCUUUCCAAAAGACCUCCCCCUCUGAAACACCCUCCCAUCUCUCCUCUCCGUUCGCCUAACACUCUCAAAUCUCCAACUUCAGAUAACCGCUUCGUAUUUCCUCCUCCUAGCUCUUUUAUAGCUCCUAACGGUCGAAUGCCGCAGGUUUAUCUUAAUGGCGCAGCCUCCUACUCUCCAACCUCUUCCGCAUCGCCCCCUCUAUCCCCUAACUCCUCGGACUCUAAUUAAAACUUUCAAUUCUCUCUCUCUUUGCUUCUAAAACUACUACUAAACCUGGUUGAAAAAUUCGCUCCCUUUCUCAAAACCUUCGGCCUCUAUGAUGACAUUUCCUCUCUCCUCCAAUCCGCUCUCAACGAAAACAAUUCCUUAAACCAAUUCUACAAUGCACACGCCGCAAACUUGUAAUCCUCCACGCCAUAGUUUCACCUUCAAGAUCCUACAGUGGAACUGUCACUCUUUUAUGAACAAGAUUGACCUUCUCCACUCUUCCUGCAUGAAUACGACUUAAAAGCUCUCUCAGAAACAUGGCUCAAUCCCUCCCAAUACCUUUCGCUAAGAAACUGUAACGUUAUUAGAAAUGACACCAUCAUUCGUAACUCCGGCGGAUUAGCCUUUGCCAUAUCGAACUUAAUCUCCUAUAGGCUCUUAGAUAACAACUUCUCUGUUCCAGGCUAUAUAGAUACACAAGCCGUUAUCAUCCCCUUUAACAAUAGCUCAGUACUAAUAGUUUCUAUUUAUAGAUACCCCCGAGGCUUCCUUCCUGCCGGUAUCUGGGAUGCUCUCUUUCAAUUUUACGGUGCCUUCACUUCUACUAUCAUCCUGGGAGACUUUAACGCCCAUCAUACCAAGUGGGGAUGUGAACGUUCUGAUCACAACGGGGUUAGCCUAUUGAGUUCUGCUCUAUCUCACUCCUUCAUGUACUUGAACGAUGGUACCCCUACCUUCGUUUCUCGUCCGAAUCAAAGUCGCUCCGCUAUUGACCUCACCUUUGCCUCCGCUUCCCUUCUCCAUUGCUGCUCAUGGGAAGUCCUACCUGACUCCCUGACCAGCGAUCACUUCCCCAUCUCAGUUGCCAUUAAUCUGAUGAUCAAAAAACGUUCCUUUUUUUCUCA